GAGCACAGGAUGUCAGGAAACAGCUUCUCACCAUCAUGGAUAAAAUAAAUCUUGUCAUUGGUCCUCUGCAUAUAAUUUGCUGGCCAGAUUGAAUUAGGUUCUGAAAUCUGAAUCAUCAUCUCUGAUAUGCAGCUACAAAUUGGAUGUUGUAAGUGUUGGAAAAUUUUUUACCAAGAUCAGAAAGGCGAUCACCGCAGGAUUCUUUUUCCAUGCAGCAAGGAAGGAUCCCCAGGAAGGCUACAGAACCCUUGUUGAGAACCAGCCUGUAUAUAUCCAUCCAAGUUCAGCUUUGUUCCAGAGACAACCUGGUUGGGUCAUCUACCAUGAACUUGUUAUGACUACUAAGGAUCAAUAUAUGCGUGAGGUCAUAGUGAUAGAUCCUAAAUGGCUUGUUGGAUUGAACCACUUUAUGACAGAUAUCAUGAGCUCAUGAGCCAAAUUCAUGGUGCUUGAUAUUCAAUCCAUCUUCUUCCUCUUGAUGCAAUGUAUUGCUUAGUGUUUACACUACAUUGUAUGAUGAUGCAGGUGUAAAUUUUGACCCUUAAUUUGUAUUAACUGUAAAUGAUGUAUAUAGGCAGAUUUACUAAGUUGUAAAUUUUAUGGGUUCCUAAAUCAAAGUCUAAGUUGUAAAUUAUGUUUGGGUAAAUUCAUGUUUAAAGCAGAAAGCUGAAGUUGAAUCCUGCAA